rnacentral:rRNA from 1 species
AAAACUUUCAACAACGGAUCUCUUGGUUCUGNGCAUCGAUGAAGAACGCAGCGAACUGCGAUAAGUAAUGCGAAUUGCAGAAUUCAGCGAGCCAUCGAAUCUUUGAACGCACAUUGCGCCCGCCAGCAUUCUGGCGGGCAUGCCUGUCCGAGCGUCAUUU